rnacentral:rRNA from 1 species
UACGUAGGGUGCGAGCGUGUCCGGAAUUAUUGGGCGUAAAGGGCUCGUAGGCGGUUUGUCGCGUCUGCCGUGAAAGUCCGGGGCUCAACUCCGGAUCUGCGGUGGGUACGGGCAGACUAGAGUGAUGUAGGGGAGACUGGAAUUCCUGGUGUAGCGGUGAAAUGCGCAGAUAUCAGGAGGAACACCGGUGGCGAAGGCGGGUCUCUGGGCAGUAACUGACGCUGAGGAGCGAAAGCGUGGGGAGCGAACAGG